CCUUCUGGCUGAGUAGUUAGCAAAAGCAAGAGACAAGAAUCAGAUGUUCAAAAGCUUCCAGGGUCGUGUUUGCAGCGUCAGUUUUUAUCCGAGCGGGAGACUUCUCCAGAAGACCCUUCCCCACACCUUCUUCCCAGCUCCUGCUUUCCUCAGCCACUUUCCUGCCUGUCCUAUUCCAGAGUUCCUCCACAACAGAGCUGCGCCUUCCUGAGGCUCAACCAUGCUCCUGGCGCUCCUCCCAGUGCUGGGGAUACACUUUCUCCUGAGAGAAGCCCAAGCUCAGUCAGUGACUCAGCCUGAUGCUCUUGUCACUGUCUCUGAAGAAGCCUCUCUGCAGCUGAGAUGCAAGUAUUCUUCCUCUGUGCCACCUUACCUGUUCUGGUAUGUGCAGUACCCACGACAAGGGCUUCAGCUGCUCCUCAAGUACUAUUCAGGAGAAUCAGUGGUUCAAGGAGUGAAUGGCUUCAAGGCUGAGUUCAACAAGAGUGACUCUUCCUUCCACCUGCGGAAAGCCUCUGCGCACUGGCGCGACUCAGCUGUGUACUUCUGUGCUCUGAGCGCACAGUGUGUGGGGCUGCAGGUGAAGCGGAACACAAACACCCACUCAGCGGGUGCCCAGACUCACGAUGGCUCCUUGUGGUCUCGGAAGCAUCUCUUUGGACUUGGAGAGGAAAGAAGGAAAGUUGCGCGCUCCCAGCUGUCUUUCCACAACCCAUGUCCAGCUAAAAUGUCCACUAUAUCUAGUGCUCAUUCGUAGUUCUGUGGAAUGGAGGAGACUGUGUUGUUAUCCUGAGUGUUAUUUCCUGAGUGGACAUCACUUGGAUAGUGACGCGACUCAGGUGCUGAUGGGGAACACCAGAAGCUGGACUUCGAUUUUGUCACUUUAUGUAUCAUUUACACAGAAAGUGAACGGUGUGCACUCCAGCUUUUGUCCUGAAAUUUCCCUUCUCUUCUCAAUGUUUUAUGCUGAUUCCCUAUAAAUUCUUCUUUUGCUGCUGAAUGUAACUGAUCAGAAUUGGUCAUAAUAUUUAAGUAUUGCCAUUUUGGAAUUAACUGCCCUUGUUAGCCAAUAUAGGAUUUCAUCAGUACCACAAAAGUUUUG